GCGCGGCGUUAUUAAAAUGGAAAUAAAGUUAUAAUUAUAUUAUGAAAAACCUAUUGAAACUUGAGAUAUAUGCAUAUUAUCGAAGAAUGAAAUGCCCCCGAGCUCUGAUCGACAAUGUACACUUAUAAUUUUUUAUUUGGUUGGAAGUAACCGUUGCUUUGUUGAGCGACCUCUACUAAAAAUGGCGUGUCGUAAUUAGCCUACGCAUUGACAUUGUUCACCGUUUGUUUGCGAGUUCCUUUGGAAUAAAUUGUCAAUCAAUCCUGACAAUAAUUUCUUCAAUUGAAGGAUCGUAGUAUAAAUCAGGUUGGACCAAACUACUUCAAGACUGCGAAAAAAUGUGAAGUCGUUGGUGUUUGCUGUGAAGGUACAGGAAAACAGGUGUUUUACUUGGCGAAUGAGGGUGAAUCACCCGGGAAAGGCGCCAACACUGUUGUUAGCUAUGUGCAUUACUAGCUUCAUCACUAUGGCCUAGGGGAGGAAGAGGCAGUUUUCUUCUUUGACAACUGCUGGACAAAAUAAGAACAACUGUGUACUUUGGUAUGCACUGUGGAGAGUUAGUGUUGGGCUGCACACUCGAAUGAGAUACUCGAUGAUGGUGACUGCGGCCACAUAAAGUUCUAGCCUGAUUGGCAUUUUGGAUUAUGGAAGUCAAAGUACUUUGUGAUGCAGAGACCAUCGAGGCUGUUGCUGUGACUGUAUCCACCUCCUCACGAUCUGGACUUAAUGUUCCGCACAUGAUUGGUGAUUUGGAGAAGCCUGUGCACCUAUACGAUCGGAAAACAUUUCUUGCCCAGUUGUUCAUACCCUUGAAGAACAUUUGAAAGUACCAACAUUUCCUCAUUGAUGCUGGUAAACCAGGCUUGGUAUUUUGUAAAACAAGUGAAAAAUCUACAGUUGAAACUCACUGUUUGUUAAACUUUAAAGAGUGCUGACCUCUUACCAUCAAUGUCUAGCCAGUCUUGCCCAGCCUGAAUUAAAGGACCUUGACUCAGUAUCGCCUGACAAUGCUACCUUUAUGAGGAAAUAGGGCAGUUUUUUUUAAUCAGACCUCUGUAGACAAGCUACCUGUCCCAAGCCGAAGUAAAACAAAACAAAACUGUCUGUGUAACUCAGAAGUUGCAAAAAACAUGUGCCCUGUCCUAUCUUUGUUUGUUUUAAGGUUGAAAAUUGUAUGAUCCUGUUUGUCAAAUAGCCUUAGAUUAUUUGUUUUGAUUACCAAGUUAUAUGUUAUUGUUUACCAUAUAAACUGUUCAUUGGUGAACUUUUCAGUAACAAUUAUUAGUGUGAAAAUUUUAAAAUUAAAUUGGCCUGUGGCAUGGUAUUUUCUAAAUUGAAACUUAUGAUGUGAUGCUAUUAAUGUAAAAUGUCAUGUCCAUCACGUGUGUUCAUUUAUUAUGACAGGUGGUAAUAUAUAAGUUUUGUUGAAGCUCAUCAUACCCAUGAUUGCGAAACCCAUUUACAUGUAAAAUAAGAAUGACGGUUGCUAUGGAAACAUUAUUUUGGCAUUUACUUAUUUGUUGAUGAAUUAAUGCUAUUUAUAUGAUAAUGGUAUUAUCUUUAUUUUAACUGAUUUAUAGAAGGUAUCUUUUAAUGCCUUAACAAUAAUACAUGUUCAUCUUUAAUUGUUCUGAAUUAUAAGUACAUGUUGUUAUUUGUGCUUAUUUACGGCGGUUUUACUAUGUGGGUUUCGUAAACAAAUUGUAGUUAAAUUGUUUGGUCAAAUAUUGUUGUUCUUUUUCAUGUUUGAUAUGUAUGGGAAAGGAUUUACUAUUAAAAUUAGUUUUUUUUUGCUGUUCCAAACAGUAAAAAUAUGUAUUUUAUCUAUUUGUUCCCAUGGUAACCAUGGUUACCAUCAGCAAAAUGUCUGAUCAUUAACAUUUUUACCAGCAUAUAUGUAUGGCACUAUUAAAUUACAUGUAUGGCGUUUACGUUGUGCAAAGUCUUAAAUAGAUUGAAAUCAAUACACUGUAAAAUAUGUGGAUCUUUUCUAAAAAAAAGGACAUAAUGCACUUUAACUCAACCUAUUUUCUUAGAUUCUUUUUGUUACUAUGUAUUAAAUAAACACCAUGUAGAAAUAAAGAUCAUUGACUAUAAGCAGUUUUAUCAUAUAUUUGACAAAAACGUAAAUAUUUAGUUUUUUUCCUGAUAUUUAAACAAUUUUAAUGAAAUUAAUGUAUUUUAUGUAAAUUCGUUACCAUAGCAACCGCUGUAUUCAAAUGAUUGCUUUUGUUCGCACAUAAAAUGUAAAAAUCAUGGUCAGUGUAGCUAAUGCAUUGAAUCUGUGUGUGAAUGCUAUACGGUAAAUACAUGUAUACUGUA